CAAUAGCGUAUAUUAAAGUUGUUGCGGUUAAAAAGCUCGUAGUUGGAUUUCUGCUGAGGACGAUCGGUCCGCCCUCUGGGUGAGUAUCUGGCUCGGCCUUGGCAUCUUCUUGGAGAACGUUACUGCACUUGACUGUGUGGUGCGGUAUCCAGGACUUUUACUUUGAGGAAAUUAGAGUGUUUCAAGCAGGCGCACGCCUUGAAUACAUUAGCAUGGAAUAAUAAGAUAGGACCUUGGUUCUAUUUUGUUGGUUUCUAGAGCUGAGGUAAUGAUUAAUAGGGAUAGUUGGGGGCAUUCGUAUUUAACUGUCAGAGGUGAAAGUCUUGGAUUUGUUAAAGACGGACUACUGCGAAAGCAUUUGCCAAGGAUGUUUUCAUUGA
rnacentral:rRNA from 1 species